rnacentral:tRNA from 1 species
GUUGUGGCUCAGUGGUAGAGCACUUGCCUGGCAUGUGUGAGGCCCUGGGUUUGAUUAUCAGCCCCACA